rnacentral:rRNA from 1 species
GAAUAUUGCGCAAUGGGCGAAAGCCUGACGCAGCAACGCCGCGUGCGCGAAGAAGGCCUUCGGGUCGUAAAGCGCUUUUAGGGCAGAAGAGGAAGGACAGUAGGCCCUGAAUAAGUGUCGGCUAACUACGUGCCAGCAGCCGCGGUAAAACGUAGGACACGAGCGUUAUCCGGAGUUACUGGGCGUAAAGCGCAGGCAGGCGGGCGGCGAAGUCUGACGUGAAAGCUCCUGGCUCAACCGGGAGAGGCCGUUGGAAACUGGCUGGCUGGAGGGUGGUAGAGGCGCGUGGAAUUCCGGGUGGAGUGGUGAAAUACGUAGAGAUCCGGAGGAACACCAGUGGCGAAGGCGGCGCGCUGGGCCACACCUGACGCUGAACUGCGAAAGCAUGGGGAGCGAACGGG